UACGGGGGGAGCAAGCGUUGUUCGGAUUUACUGGGCGUAAAGGGCGCGUAGGCGGCCACCGCAAGUCAGUUGUGAAAUCUCUGGGCUUAACCCAGAACGGUCAGCUGAUACUGCGGGGCUAGAGUGCAGAAGGGGCAACUGGAAUUCUCGGUGUAGCGGUGAAAUGCGUAGAUAUCGAGAGGAACACCUGCGGCGAAGGCGGGUAGCUGGGCUGACACUGACGCUGACAGCGCGAAAGCUAGGGGAGCGAACGGG
rnacentral:rRNA from 1 species